rnacentral:rRNA from 1 species
UCUUAAUUGGGCGUUAAGUUGCAGGGUAUAGACCCGAAACCCGGUGAUCUAGCCAUGGGCAGGUUGAAGGUUGGGUAACACUAACUGGAGGACCGAACCGACUAAUGUUGAAAAAUUAGCGGAUGACCUGUGGCUGGGGGUGAAAGGCCAAUCAAACCGGGAGAUAGCUGGUUCUCCCCGAAAGCUAUUUAGGUAGCGCCUCGUGAAUUCAUCUCCGGGGGUAGAGCACUGUUUCGGCUAGGGGGCCAUCCCGGCUUACCAACCCGAUGCAAACUGCGAAUACCGGAGAAUGUUAUCACGGGAGACACACGGCGGGUGCUAACGUCCGUCGUGAAGAGGGAAACAACCCAGACCGCCAGCUAAGGUCCCAAAGUCAUGGUUAAGUGGGAAACGAUGUGGGAAGGCCCAGACAGCCAGGAUGUUGGCUUAGAAGCAGCCAUCAUUUAAAGAAAGCGUAAUAGCUCACUGGUCGAGUCGGCCUGCGCGGAAGAUGUAACGGGGCUAAACCAUGCACCGAAGCUGCGGCAGCGACACUGUGUGUUGUUGGGUA